AAAUGUCUGUAGGCUUUAAAACUGAUCAUGGUAUAUAGAUGCUAUGCAGUUGGGUGUAUGCUCUUGGGCUGGUUGCAUGCAGUUAGGUGUAGCAGUGUCUGAGCUUAUGAGAAAUCUUAGUGUUGGAGACUCUCAGGUUGUUGUUCCAUUGGAAUGAAGUACUUGUUGAGAAAUGGUUUGGGAUUAAGGAGUAAAGAACUGGUUUGUGCUGGUAAACAAAAGCUGAGAUAUGAGGUACGCCAUGCUUGUCCUGUGGCUCUAGAUGCAUAACACAGAAUGAGUGUGCUGAGAUUUCCACAGAGGAGUCUAGGAUGCUUUUAACCACAGUUACUGGAGUCACAAUUAUGUUUGUCUGGAGUGGUUUGAUUUUCCUCUGAUGAGUGGAAAGCUUUCACUGAUGAGUCCUAGUUCAUGCUAAAGAUGUUCCAUGGUAAGGGUGGGAGCAGGAGAGGAGGGGAGGUGAUAUGAUCCAGUCAAAAAUGGUGGCAGAAAUCGAUGUUAAUUUCUGAAAGAACUCUCACUUCUAAUUUCUUUUGUCUAUUUAAGCCAGUGAAAAAAAAGAAGAUAAAACGCGAGGUUAAGAUUCUGGAGAAUCUACGUGGUGGCACCAACAUCAUUAAUCUGGUUGACACUGUCAAGGAUCCAGUGUCAAAGACCCCUGCUCUGGUGUUUGAAUACAUCAACAACACAGAUUUUAAGAAAUCCCUGGCAUUUGGAGGAGGAGGAGGUUUAAAUUUGCACAGCAUCAGUAAGAUUUUAAUCCAACCCUGUCUAAUCCCUCACCAAUUCAGAGGAAACCCCUUGGCUGAUGGACACACAGAAGGGUAGCCCUGAAGGCAGGGAAGAUCUGAGCCCAUUGAAGUGUUGGGCUGGCUCCUAGUUGAGAGAUUCAAGGCUCCCUGUGCUCCCUGACAUCUCUCUGAGCUGGGAAGAUGAACAGAGACUGGAUACAGAGCUCCUGGUGACUCAGUGGGAGAGGCUGAAGUCAGCUGAAAACUGGCUGCCAUCCAAAACGCCUGGGACAAGCUGUUUAAACAGAUGUAACAGGGAUGGAGAUGGAUAUCUGUAUCAGCAGAUGCUCCUCCAGCCCCUCAGAAGGUGUUUGUAGGAUGAGCUGCCCGUGGCCAUUCUCAAGGCACCCCGUGGCCCAGCAGUGAAAGGUGCUGUGAAGCACAGAGCUGUGUUGGCCACUGCAGUUGGCCAAGGGGUAAUGAGGUUGAGGUCUGGAGUACCUGUGGGCACCUGCUGCCAUCCUGGGAAUUUAAGGUUGGGGGCAAACCUGGAUGUCUGGAUGAGGGUGGUGCUAACAAGACCCUGGUUCAACCUCCCUUGUAAUACCAGCACUGCUCCCAUGGGUGGUGGUUACAAGGAAUGCCAAGAAAACCCUUUCCAGGGCUAGCCUAGGUCCACUGCUGGCUGGUCCCCAGGACCUCCAGAGGUUGUCUCCAAGAUCCCUACCCUCUUGCAGCAUCUUGCAUGGACCUUGCAGGAUCUUGCAGUGUAGGAAAACUUGAGCUUCACACAACCUACAAGAAGCCUUGGAAAACCAACGUUGACAAAUAAAUAGCACUGAAAGGCAGGAUGGAGCAGCAGCAAGCCCUGACUCAUGCAUUCUGCCUUUGCAAGGAAGAUAUGGAAUGUUUUCCUUGGACUCCCCUGGAAGAUAUGCCCAGCAGGGAAGAGGAGCAAGUGCUAGCCUGGACACUAGACCACAGCCCUGCUCCUGGGAGCAGCCCCUGUGGGUUGAUGGGGAAACAUCCCAUUGAAGGCAGGUGAUGGGGUCCUCAGUGAUUCUGCAUGGGAAUGUUUUGGGAAGGGCCAGUUCUGAAUGGCGUGUCUUGUGCAGUUGCCCAAAGGAGAUUGUGAAUGCUCCAUCCCUGGCAGUGUUCAAGGCCAGGUUGCACACAAGGGCUUGGAGCAAGCUGCUCUAGUGGAAGGUGUCCCUGCCCGUGGCAGGGGGUUGGAACUGAAUGAGCUUUAAGGGCCCUUCCAACCCAAACCAGUCUGGGAUUCUGUGAUUCUGUGAUUCUAUGACCUUGGGAGUUGAGGCUGUUAUAUCCCCAACUGUGGAAAACAUGAAUUAAAGCAGUACUAAGAAAGUACAGAAGAAGGAACAGUGGCAGGAUGGGCUUGCCCAGCAUGGAGGCAAGUCGGAAUUAGCCCUUGCUCUAGGGGCAGGCUGGUGCCCUCUGUCCUUGCUGGACAAGCUGUCCCAAUUCAGAAAAAAGCCUUGCUUCAUAUCCUGCCACCUUGGGAGCCCCAGGCUCCUUUAGAAACUUGGGCACCCUUACAAGGGUGGUGGGCAAACCUCCUCAAACUGGCUGCCCUGCAGAGCUGGUGGCCCCUGACAAUGCAGGAUCAUAGCCAGGACAGAGGGGGCAACCACCAGCAUCCGUACCUCACACAGAAGAUGAGGGUCCUGCAUCUUCCCUACUGUGGGACCAGCACUCUCCAACCACCCCCACGGUGGUGUUCACAGCCACUGGUUUUGCCUGACCUAAAUGGCCACCCCACAGCCUCCUGCUCUACCCCAAAUAGCUGCCACCCCAGCAUCAAAUAUGUGGGGGAUCAUCACUCCUCCAGUAUGGCCUCCACUCCUGGGUGGUACUUCAGACACCAUGGUUAUCACCAUCCUCACUCCCUGGCACCCCCCAGACCAUCAUGACCCUACUGUGGGGACCUUCAUUGCACAGGUCCAUCUUCUCCUGGCACCACCUGGGAUCCUUGACCAUGACCAACCUAUGCUCAGGGGAACCUGCACCCCCCUGCUCCAGAGGACACCCAGGUGCCUUGUCAUCCUUACUCUUGUUUCUGGGUGCUCUCAGCUCCUUUGUCCUACAUGCCCCCACUCCCCAGACUCCCUAGAUCU